UACAGAGGUCUCAAGCGUUGUUCGGAUUCAUUGGGCGUAAAGGGUGCGUAGGUGGCGGGGUAAGUCAGGUGUGAAAUCUCGAGGCUCAACCUCGAAACUGCACUUGAUACUGCCUUGCUCGAGUACUGGAGAGGAGAUUGGAAUUUACGGUGUAGCAGUGAAAUGCGUAGAUAUCGUAAGGAAGACCAGUGGCGAAGGCGAAUCUCUGGACAGUUACUGACACUGAGGCACGAAAGCUGGGGGAGCGAACGGG
rnacentral:rRNA from 1 species